ACCAGGAAUCUGAGUUUUCUGGCAAGCAGGAUGCACAUCAGAGUACACAAGAGCCAUGUCUUGGUGACUUCCGCCUGAGAGCACACGCACAGCUUCCUGUUUUGGUCUGAUAGCUUCCCCUGGGCUUUCAUAGAUGCAAAAUUACUCACACAGAGAUGGGUUGCCCAUGCAAAAAAGUGAACUGUGUAGAAUCCUUGCUAUGUGCUUUCACAUAAAAAAAUAAUAAUAAUAACAACAACAAAAGGCGAAAAAGAGUUUUCAGAGUGGAGAAUUGUAAACAUCAGAAAAACAAAGGACCAGAGAAUGGGGCAGAAGGUUUGGAAUCCCCAAGCUGUGGGACCCAUAUUGUCAUCAAUUUAUGAAAACCUCAUUAAAAAAAACACUUCACAUCAUUCUCUUUGAUAUAUCAAGGUCAAGAGACUUCAUGUUUGCAUAUACACAGAAGAAGGGGACAAUGUAUAUAGGUCCUAAGAAAAUCAGCCCUGCUGAAUAGAGGGUUUGCUAAGCCCACUGAAUGGAAGAGAGUUGGGGGGUUGGGAUAACUUCAGCAGGUCAUUUCCAACAAAAUAAAUUCUUAGCAGCCUACCA